CCUACGGGGCGCAGCAGUGGGGAAUAUUGGGCAAUGGGCGCAAGCCUGACCCAGCAACGCCGCGUGAAGGAAGAAGGCCCUCGGGUUGUAAACUUCUUUUGUCAGGGACGAAGCAAGUGACGGUACCUGACGAAUAAGCCACGGCUAACUACGUGCCAGCAGCCGCGGUAAUACGUAGGUGGCAAGCGUUAUCCGGAUUUACUGGGUGUAAAGGGCGUGUAGGCGGGGAAGCAAGGCAGAUGGGAAAUUCGAGGGCUCAACCCUGGAACUGCAUUUGAAACUGUUGU
rnacentral:rRNA from 1 species